rnacentral:lncRNA from 1 species
AGGACACCAGGUGUCUACCUCUGGUGAGUGGAUCUUCUCACAGAUUUUUUUCCCUCCAUUUUUAGGUGGCCUGAACAUACAACACCCAACUUACGAGAAAAAAUGCAACUCCGAUGACCGCCUUUGCAACCAGUUUUAUGGGCUGGUGGCGGGGGAUUUCCGGAUGCUCUGGAACUCCAGCUGCUGUCGAGCGGAUCGCUGCAACACCCAGGAAGUCAUUGUACAAACAGCACCUCAGAUUCCCAACGGGGUUCGUUGCAAUUCGUGCUUUGCCCGUGGCGCACAUUUUUGUCUGAAUCACACUACAGUGGCGUGUACUGGCCUCCUGACCAACUGCAUCCACUUUGCCACCAUUGCAAGUACAGACGAAUUCAAGGACGAACAAGUCGCCUUUACAGGAUGCGCCACCAGGAACAUGUGCGACAUGGGAGCGGGAGCGCUGUUUGCUGCUGGCCGCAAUGUGGACAUCAAGGUCAACACAUGCAGCCAUGCGCUUGGAAUCUCUACCCAAUACAGCCUGGUCUUGCCACUCCUGGCGGGGCUCCUUUGCUUUGCCUUCUGUUCGUGAUUGUGUUCUAUUUCAUCCCUUUUGCCUGUUUGCUUUCUAUUGACUGUGGUGGUUGUCUUCCUUCUCAUUUCGCUCUUGCAGAUCUGGUCUCGACUUCCUACAAUGAGCAUCUGUUCCACCUUCCCUUCUUGGAAGAUCUCUCUCUGCUGUUCAGAUCUUUGAGCCGAUGCUCGAAUCAGGGAAGGGACAGCCAUCUUCCACCGUAGGAUCUCCCAGACUUUUUCCCCUUUAAGAAUCUUUUUCUGUGCUGAUGUUGUCAGUAUUUUCCACACCAUCCUUCCUGUGGGAGACAGGGAAUGGACCGAACUGGGAGAGGCAGAGGGCCAAUCGUGGUGAAGUAUGGGUGCCACCAUAGCUGAUUUAAGGCCAAGUAAGAAAACGGGUAGUGUUUUUAAGAAGGGAAAGAAGAAAACAUGGGUCAAUUUGGAAGACCUUGGAGAGAAAAGCUGUGGAGAACACAGGGGUAAAAGUAUAAGUAUUUAAAAGUCUAAUAUCACCAGAAUCUACAGCUCUCCUCCAUCACAUUAGCAUCACCCAGAAACCAUUGCAGUCAUGGACUGAUGGCUUUUAGAAUCAAAAUUCAUGGUUGAAUCAAAUCUGUAUAACACCUCUAAAACCUAAUAAAGCAAGGUUUUAAUUUAAAAUAUUUUACCUC